rnacentral:rRNA from 1 species
ACAGCAGCCGCCACGGGAAUACAGAGGGUGCGAGCGUUAAUCGGAUUUACUGGGCGUAAAGCGUGCGUAGGCGGCUUCUUAAGUCGGAUGUGAAAUCCCUGAGCUUAACUUAGGAAUUGCAUUCGAUACUGGGAAGCUAGAGUAUGGGAGAGGAUGGUAGAAUUCCAGGUGUAGCGGUGAAAUGCGUAGAGAUCUGGAGGAAUACCGAUGGCGAAGGCAGCCAUCUGGCCAAAUACUGACGCUGAGGUACGAAAGCAUGGGGAGCAAACAGGAUUAGAUACCCGCGUAGUCCCUGUCUCUUAUAC